CUCAGCCCGUCUGUACCCAGGCGCUCAUUAGAACAGCGUGUUGCUCCACACCGCCUUGUGGUGUUUGUUACCGCGCUCUUGGGGUUCGAACCGAUACAGCAGGCUUGCAGCUAUUUCAUUGGUUUAAACUUUUAUUUUUUUAUUGCAAAUGAAAAUUACUAUCAACUAUCAUUACAAAGCUGUAGAAUAUGAAGUUCGAAGGAAAACGCUGAAUCAGUAUACAAAAGCGUCUCAAUCAGACUCAUCCAUUUUGAAGCAAUUCCUCUGCCAUUUUGCCACCUCCUCUCAAAUUCAGCGACUUACCAGAAAGCCUGUGUGGAUGAAUAUUGCUUCCAGGAGUCACAUAAUUACAUCUAAAAUCAUAGAAUGUUAGAGCUGGAGGAAUCUUUAGAGUUUGCCCAAGGUCCUUCACCAGCAUUUUACAGAAGAUUCUUCGAUUUAACUGCUCUUAAUUACAUCCCGUUGCACUGGCCCCAUCAAGUUGCUUUAAACAGCCCUUCUAGUCAACAGAGCUGCAGAGAAAAACCUUGGUUGGUUCAGGUCACUAGGAUGCAGGACCAUGGGCAGCCAGCUAGCAGCAGUGUGAUCUGACAGCCCCUUUCUUCAGCUGAAACAAUUCUCCACUCCUCAUAUCUGAAGUUGCUUCCAAAAAUGAGCUGCCCACACACAGCCCUUGCCCCAGGCUUUGCUCUCUGAGAAACUUAGGCUGAGAA
rnacentral:lncRNA from 1 species